ACGUCACGCCGCGUCGCUGUCCUGAGCUCUCGGCUCCGACUGAGCGCGUGCAGCCAGGAAGAGAGCACAUGGAAGUCACGUCGAGAUGAUUUUUGUCGACCACAAAGCUGAUAAACAAGAAGAAAGGAUUACAAAAAUGUCGUUUUUAAAACAGGACACGGACGAGGAGACGGGACGGCGAGCGUCUCAUGAUGUGAAUGAGAAGUGGGCUGGGCCUCGGCUGGCCUGGACGCCGGGCCUCCGCAUGAUGAUUGGAUGAUCUGUCUGGGCUGAAUUCCUUUUUGAUUUACAGCAAAGGACACGAUGUCCUGCACAGGGAUCCCCGCUGACCAGGGCGUGUUGACCCCGGUGCCCAAAGUCUACUACCUGACGGAUCUAUACCUCAACUAUAAGGACGACAGUUUUUCCAGCACAGCAAACCUGAUCCUCAGCCGCUUCAAGUCAGGGGCCGGUGACGGGAUGCAAAGCGAGCGUGGGAUUUGGUUUUUGCCGCCACCUCAUGGAACGUGCGUACUCUCACUUGUGUUUUUUUUCUUUUUAAUAGUGUCUACUUCCCUUUUUCUUGGAGAGGCCACACAAGCACCUCGAAUUGAGCCGGUUGUGCACUGCAUUGUGGUUUGAUUGUACCAGAGCAUUACAACCGUCACUAUGCACUGCUUAAAGGGACAGGAGGGCUAUGGUGUGGUGCAGGGUGCUUUCACACUUUGGGGUCUUUGAGUUUAUAUUUUCAUAUUCAAGAUUGCACUCAGUCUAUAUGUACAUGCAUUGUAUUCACAAAAUCAUGAGUAAAAUGAUUAUACAUGUUUAAAGAUUAUUUAAGCUAGGGUUAUUAUACAUAUAAUCUAAUUAUUUUAUAUUUUAGUUAUUAAAGAAUGUUAAGUUAUCCUAAUAUAAUUAAAAAAAAAAAGUGAUCAUAUAUUUGCGUGUAUGUUCAUUGGUUUAUUUUUUUAAAUCGUUAAAGAAUAUCAAGUGUGAAAUAUUCAUAUUAGUUUGUUUUCAAAUAGUCUAACAAUUAUAUCUUUAUAUCAUGAAAAGAUCUAACCUAAAAUCUAAAAAAAAAUGUAUGUUUGUGUUUGUUGUAUUGAUAUGUUUAUUUUUUGAAAUUGUUACAGAAUGUCAGAUGUAAAUUAUUAUUGAUUUAUUUAUUUUUAAAUUGUCUAACGAUUAUAUUUAUUAUACUAUCCAACUGUUAUGCAUGUAUUGAAUAUUUUUUUAAUUCAUAUUUUUCUCUCAUUGAAGAUUUGUAUUUUAAACAAAGAAAUUAGUAUUUAUAUAAAUAUAUGUAUUGAAAAUGUUCAAGAAUAUCAAGUGUAAAAUAUAUCAAAUCUACAAAAUUAAUACACAUAUUUUAGUAUCUAUAUUAUUUUAGUAUUUAGAAAUAAAUGUGCACAUGGAAUACAUUAUUAUUCUUUGUAUACAACUUCAUGUUAACGACUUGCCUCUACUGUGUAUAUGUGUAUAUUUCUAAAAAAAUAAACAUAUUCAAAUACAUUUCUCUCUGCCUGACAUUUGCUGUUUUUUCUUUCAUUUUAAAAUUGUUCACCAAACGAUGUAACUGGUAAGCAAUCUAUACACUGCACUGUAGUCUGGAAUUCCAUGGAUGUUAUGCUUGUAAUGAGAAGUCCUGGUCACACCUUUAGGGUGAAAAUGAAUGAGGUCACACUGUCAUAAGGUUCAUUUUCUGCAUGGAACACAUUCAUUCAUAAACAACGAGCACCACGUCUUCCAAACUGUCAUGUCAUUCUAGCUAAAGCAGGAAGGAUACUGCAAAGCUUCUUGCCUUUUACUCUCACUAGGCCUGGAAUUCCAGCACAGGUGUUGCAGGUGUCAUUCAGUUUCAUCAUUAACUUUUGU